ensembl:lncRNA PFN2-AS1 PFN2 antisense RNA 1
GGUUUGCCUAUCCAGUAUGUACUCUUCUUCCUUGCUAACAGAAUCUUGAAUUUGCUUGAGAUAAUAGUAAAUAAUUUAAAAUACCUCCAUAAAUGCCCUUCCAGCUAGGGUGGUCAUCUAGUCCAUUGGCCAAUAAACUAGAUCAAAAGCUACUUCAUGGAAAGCUAUUUUUUCCUUGAUACCUAUAUCUUUCUGUAAAGGACUGCUCAGCUGGCAUAAGCUUUCUACUUUUAACCUGUCUUUUCUCUUGUCCAGAUUGUGAUUCAGUGUCAAAGUGGGGCAGUCAUUCGUAAGUGCUGAGCAUUGUGGAGCAGGAGGGGAAAGGGGCCUGUUCUCUCAAGGACCUUCACUAUCCAUUCAUUUCCUACCCCCAGACUCUUGUUAGAUUGGGCUGAUCCAAACUCAUAAUAUGAAUAGAUGGACAUUGACCAAAGAGACCAGCAGCAGAACAAAAGCAUAAACAAACAUGAGAGUAGGCUAAUUUUACCAACCUGAGGUCAAAAAGUUCUCAUGAGAUCUGGUCGUUUGAAAGCAUGUACCACUUCCCUCUUCGCUCACUCUCUCCCUCCCGCUCCACCAUGUGAAGAUUGUGCCUGCUUCUCCUUCACCUUCUGCCAUGAUUGUAAAUUUCCUGAGGCCUCCCCAGCCAUGCCUCCUGUACAGAGACUGUGGAACUGUGA